UACGUAGGGGGCAAGCGUUGUCCGGAUUCAUUGGGCGUAAAGAGCGUGUAGGCGGCCAGGUAGGUCGGUUGUGAAAACUGGAGGCUCAACCUUCAGAGGUCGACCGAAACCAUCUGGCUAGAGUCCGGGAGAGGAGAGUGGAAUUCCUGGUGUAGCGGUGAAGUGCGCAGAUAUCAGGAAGAACACCCGUGGCGAAAGCGGCUCUCUGGAACGGUACUGACGCUGAGACGCGAAAGCGUGGGGAGCGAACAGG
rnacentral:rRNA from 1 species